GAGGUGCAGGUGGAAGCCUGUGGGAGGGAUUGGCACGGUGUUGCCCUAGCUGAGCGGAAUGUACAUCUUCCAGGACUCCCGGAGCUGCCUCAUUAGGGGUAGGGUGGGUCACACGUGGCCUGAGUCAGCUCUGGGUGGUGGAGGGACGCAGUGGCCGUGCUCUUUUUAAGCCUGGACGUUUGCUCAACGCACCAGGGCCCUUGCUGCUCUGCUGUGCACUGCAGCCGGCCUGGGCAGCGGUGGCAUCCUCCUGGAAGUCUGGGCCCCAGCCAGCUGCCUGCCCUGCUGCCAGGCCGGAGGACAUGGUAUCCUGGAUUCCAUGUCAUUCCUGGGAGUCCCCUGACUCUCAGGUGUCACCAGUGAGCUCCACGCUCCCGGGUCCAGCAGGCCCCCUGUGCCCUCACUCCAGCCCUCCAGGCAUGGGGGGACCAGCGUUUCAAGUCUUCCUCGUGUUUCUGGUUGCUGACUGUGUUGCUCUUUCUCAGCCUCUCCCUAACUCUACCCACUCCGCCAGUGAAGGGAAAGGGCUCCUGCCUUUUCUCUUCUCUCCUCCUUCUUGCGUGGUCCCUCAUUGCCCAGGGGCUGGGUUGCCACUGACUGCAGGGAACCCUCCAGCCCAGCCCCUCCCAUGAGCCCCUCAGCAACGGUAGGAGGAAUCAGUAAAAUUCUGUGGGUCCUGGGGCUCUGUGCUCUAGGGCUCACCCCACUUCUCUUUCAUUUGUUAAGUUUUUACUUCGAGUUCCUCAUUGGAAUUUCAGUAGUGGCCUCCCAUUUCUGUGGGGAUAGUUCCCAGGUACCCCAGACUCCACGCAUCCACCCAGGAACCCUGAUCCCUGCAGCCCUUCCCCCGAGGGCCAGCCUCCCUUCUCAUCUCAGACCAGAGCCCAACAGCCACUGGAGCUGACUCCUCACCCCACCCCCACAAGUAGUACUGACGCUUUCUCCAGGAUGCCUCUUUUCAAAAACAGUGUGGUAAAAUCGACAUAACAUAAAACUGACCAUCUUAACCAUUUUAAACUACAUUUCAGUGGCAUUAAACACACUCAUGCUGUUGUGCAGCUGUCGCCACCCUUCAUCUCCAGAACUUUCUCAUCUUCCCAAACUGAAACUCCAUCCCCAUUAAACACUCACUCCCCGUCCCCUCCUCCAGGUCCUGGCACCCACCAUUCACUUUCUGUCUCUAUGGAUUUGAUCACCCUAGGGACCUUCUACCCGUGAAAUCACACAGGAUUUGUCCUUUUGUGACCGGCUUCUUUCACUGAGCCCAGUGUCCAGAACGGCUCUCAGGUCCGCAUCUAUCUCCUGGAGCCCGUGCAGCCUGCUGGUGCCUCUUGUGCCUCUGCCCACAAUAAUCCCCUUGCUGGACUCACAGGUCCCACCCCUCCCCCAUCUAAUCUGUCCACAAUGGGCAGUGUGACCAUCUAAAAGCUGGCACUGGCUGCCGGAAAGUGUACCUCGCCCAGGCUUCCGUCCCCAAAAUCAAUGCUGGAGAAGCUCCAGCAUCUAGAAGGAGAAACAGCCUUGAGGAAAAAUCAACAAUGCAGUAAAUCUCUAAGGAUACUACAAGCUGUGGUGAGCUGGUGUGCACGUGCAUAUGUGUGUGUGUAUGCAUUGUGCAUGUGUGUACAUGCCUGUGUGUGCAAGUGUGUGCAUGUAUGGGUACACAUGUAUGCAUGAAUGCUGUGCUAUAUGUGCACGUGUGUGCACGCAUGCAUGCGUGUGUGUAUGCGCACAUGUAUGUGGUGUUGGGAGCUGCAACCUGGGGAGGAGACAGCUAGAAGCAGUGACAAGAGCAGUAGUUGGAGGCAAGCUUGUCUUUUCCCAGGUUGCUUUGAGACAGUUGUUGUUGGCCGCUUUGCUGCAGAAAUCAGCAGCAAUGGCCUGGACAGCAGGGAGAACAGCAGGGCAGAGUUAAAACCUUACAUAGGGGAAGGGGGAUGGAUAUAAACAGGUGCAGAUCCGCCAGCCGUCUCCAAGCAGUUGUUCCUUUAACCUUCUGCUCUGGUCUCAGGCCUGGAGGUGGCCACACGGGCAAUGGCCUCCUCCCAAAGCAGA
ensembl:lncRNA